AGCUGUGCGCAGUGGCAGUAUCGUAGCCAAUGAGGUUUAUCCGAGGCGCGAUUAUUGCUAAUUGAAACUUUUCCCAAAGACU
rnacentral:snRNA from 1 species